rnacentral:tRNA from 1 species
GCCUUGGUAGUUCAAUGGAUAGAAUGGGAAAUUCCUAAUUUUCAGAUAGGGGUUCGAUUCCCCUCCGAGGUACUA